CGCGGCCUAUCAGCUUGUUGGUGAGGUAACGGCUCACCAAGGCAUUGACGGGUAGCUAGUCUGAGAGGACGAAUAGCCACACUGGGACUGAGACACGGCCCAGACUCCUACGGGAGGCAGCAGCAGGGAAUCUUGCACAAUGGACGAAAGUCUGAUGCAGCGACGCCGCGUGGGGGAUGAAGGCCCUAGGGUCGUAAACCCCUUUCAGUGGGGACGAAACUGACGGUACCCACAGAAGAAGGUCCGGCCAACUACGUGCCAGCAGCCGCGGUAAGACGUAGGGACCGAGCGUUGUCCGGAAUUAUUGGGCGUAAAGAGCUCGUAGGCGGUUGCGUAAGUCGGAUGUGAAAGCUCGGGGCUCAACCCCGAGACGCCAUCCGAUACUGCGCUGACUUGAAUCCAGUAGGGGAGUGUGGAAUUCCUGGUGUAGCGGUGAAAUGCGCAGAUAUCAGGAGGAACACCUAUGGCGAAGGCAGCACUCUGGGCUGGUAUUGACGCUGAGGAGCGAAAGCAUGGGUAGCAAACAGGAUUAGAUACCCUGGUAGUCCAUGCCGUAAACGUUGGGCACUAGGUGUGGGGCCUUAUCAACGGGUUCCGUGCCGUAGCUAACGCAUUAAGUGCCCCGCCUGGGGAGUACGG
rnacentral:rRNA from 1 species